GAUAGUGUUGAAGGUUCAGUGUCUGUAACAAAGCAGAGAUCAGGAUCCAUUGGGGAUCGCCCAGCAAGACCUACUCUUUUAGAACAAGUACUGAAUAAAAAGAGGCUGUCCCUACUCAGAAGCCCAGAAGUAGUGCAGUUUCUACAGAAACAACAGCGACUGUUAAGUCAACAAGCUUUGGAACAAAGGCAGCAACAGUUUCAAGGAGCACCUGGUUAGACAAGUCAGUCUUUGAUGACAAUCACUGAUGGAAGUCAGUUACUUUCUUUGGACGUUAUGAAACAAAGUUCUGGAGUUGAGCCAGUCCAGCAAUUGCUCAGGGAUAUGAGAAAUUUAUAUCCUGUAGAAUCCUGCACUAAAGGCAAAGACAACAUGCCAUCAAGAAGUCAAUCCAGCAGUUCAGAAAAGUACAAUUCAAGAACUGCACAGCUGCAAGACUGUUUUUCCACUAAUGUCAGUCUGGUCCAGAGGGAAGACUUCUGUCACAGGGCAGCAUCACUGUUCGUUGAAUGUCUGUCAGAUCAGAGCUGUCCCCAUCAAAAGAAAACUGAACCAUCCUCUUGAAUCAUCAUCUACCAUAGGACAGUGAGGGAUUCAUAUACUGUACAUGGAGAUUUUAUGCUGAAUUAAUUUUCAACACAUUUUCUUGUGUCAAGCAUCCCAUUACUCAGUCCAAUUACUGAUUCCUCUUCCCUA
rnacentral:lncRNA from 1 species